rnacentral:rRNA from 1 species
CAUCUAGCAUGUGCGCAAGUCAUUGGGUAUUUAUAAUAAACCUAAAGGCGUAAUGAAAGUGAAUUGUAUAUAUGUAUAAUUUUUAUUAAUUAUAUAUAUUUUUAUAAAGGGAAGAUGGGUUACGUUAUAUAUGUAACCUCGCAUUCCCGGGGCGUUGCAUACUUAUUGCAAGUUGUGGCGCACCAAGAGCGUACACGCUGGGACCCGAAAGAUGGUGAACUAUGCCUGGUCAGGAUGAAGUCAGGGGAAACCCUGAUGGAGGUCCGUAGCGAUUCUGACGUGCAAAUCGAUCGUAUGAACUGGGUAUAGGGGCGAAAGACUAAUCGAACCAUC